UGGGGAAUUUUGGACAAUGGGCGAAAGCCUGAUCCAGCAAUGCCGCGUGUGUGAAGAAGGCCUUCGGGUUGUAAAGCACUUUUGUCCGGAAAGAAAUCCUUGGCUCUAAUACAGUCGGGGGAUGACGGUACCGGAAGAAUAAGCACCGGCUAACUACGUGCCAGCAGCCGCGGUAAUACGUAGGGUGCAAGCGUUAAUCGGAAUUACUGGGCGUAAAGCGUGCGCAGGCGGUUUGCUAAGACCGAUGUGAAAUCCCCGGGCUCAACCUGGGAACUGCAUUGGUGACUGGCGGGCUAGAGUAUGGCAGAGGGGGGUAGAAUUCCACGUGUAGCAGUGAAAUGCGUAGAGAUGUGGAGGAAUACCGAUGGCGAAGGCAGCCCCCUGGGCCAAUACUGACGCUCAUGCACGAAAGCGUGGGGAGCAAACAGGAUUAGAUACCCUGGUAGUCCACGCCCUAAACGAUGUCAACUAGUUGUUGGGGAUUCAUUUCCUUAAGUAACGUAGCUAACGCGUGAAGUUGACCGCCUGGGGAGUAC
rnacentral:rRNA from 1 species